GAUGAACGCUGGCGGCGUGCCUAAUACAUGCAAGUCGAGCGAACAGACGAGGAUCUUGCUCCUCUGACGUUAGCGGCGGACGGGUGAGUAACACGUGGAUAACCUCCCUAUAAGACUGGGAUAACUUCGGGAAACCGGAGCUAAUACCGGAUAACAUGUUGAACCGCAUGGUUCAACAGUGAAAGACGGUCUUGGUGUCACUUAUAGAUGUAUCCGCGCCGCAUUAGCUAGUUGGUAAGGUAACGGCUUACCAAGGCAACGAUGCGUAGCCGACCUGAGAGGGUGAUCGGCCACACUGGAAGGGAGACACGGUCCAGACUCCUACGGGAGGCAGCAGUAGGGAAUCUGCCGCAAUGGGCGAAAGCCUGACGGAGCAACGCCGCGUGAGUGAUGAAGGUCUUCGGAUCGUAAAACUCUGUUAUUAGGGAAGAACAAAUGUGUAAGUAACAAUGCACGUCUUGACGGUACCUGAUCAGAAAGCCACGGCUAACUACGUG
rnacentral:rRNA from 1 species